AACGAACGCUGGCGGCAUGCCUAACACAUGCAAGUCGAACGAACCCUUCGGGGGUAGUGGCGCACGGGUGCGUAACGUGUGGGAAUCUGCCCUUUGCUUCGGAAUAACAGUUAGAAAUGACGGCUAAUACCGGAUGAUGUCUUCGGACCAAAGAUUUGUCGGCAAGGGAUGAGCCCGCGUAGGAUUAGGUAGUUGGUGGGGUAAAGGCCUACCAAGCCGACGAUCCUUAGCUGGUCUGAGAGGAUGAUCAGCCACACUGGGACUGAGACACGGCCCAGACUCCUACGGGAGGCAGCAGUGGGGAAUAUUGGACAAUGGGCGCAAGCCUGAUCCAGCAAUGCCGCGUGAGUGAUGAAGGCCUUCGGGUCGUAAAGCUCUUUUACCAGGGAUGAUAAUGACAGUACCUGGAGAAUAAGCUCCGGCUAACUCCGUGCCAGCCGCCGCAGUAAUAC
rnacentral:rRNA from 1 species